ensembl:lncRNA
ACAUUAACACACGUUACUGAAAACCCACACUAACACGUUACUGAAAACCCACACUAACACACGUUACUGAAAACCCACAUUAACACACGUUACUGAAAACCCACACUAACACACGUUACUGAAAACCCACACUAACACACGUUACUGAAAACCCACAUUAACACACGUUACUGAAAACCCACACUAACACGUUACUGAAAACCCACAUUAACACACGUUACUGAAAACCCACACUAACAGACGUUACUGAAAACCCACAUUAAUACACGUUACUGAAAACCCACACUAACACACGUUACUGAAAACCCACAUUAACACACGUUACUGAAAACCCACACUAACACGUUACUGAAAACCCACACUAACACGUUACUGAAAACCCACAUUAACACACGUUACUGAAAACCCACACUAACACACGUUACUGAAAACCCACAUUAACACACGUUACUGAAAACCCACACUAACACGUUACUGAAAACCCAUACUAACACACGUUACUGAAAACCCACAUUAACACACGUUAAUGAAAACCCACACUAACACACAUUAAUGAAAAUACACACUCUUUAUAUUAAGAGUAUUGCACUUUUAUGUAGCCUACUUUUGGCCAGCUAACAGCCUAAUCACCGAUCAACGUUUUGGACUAAACAUUGAAAUCCUAUUGCUGCAGGAUUAUUUUGCUGUGACAAUAUAGGUCAAAUUAAGAUCCUCCAUCUGUAUCUCUCUAUCUUUCAUAAUUUGGGGUAAAUGGAAAAAUUAGCCUUAGGCCUUCAUGGGAACAUGAAGCCAUUACUCUCUAUUACAGCCCUAUACCACGUUAUGGUGUGGGAACAUGAAGCCAUUACUCUCUAUUACAGCCCUAUACCACAUUAUGGUGUGGGAACAUGAAGCCAUUACUCUCUAUACAGCCCUAUACCACAUUAUGGUGUGGGAACAUGAAGCCAUUACUCUCUAUUACAGCCCUAUACCACGUUAUGGUGUGGGAACAUGAAGCCAUCACUCUCUAUACAGCUCAUACACAGACAUAUAGGAACACUGUCCCCAUGUAGACAAUCACAUGUGCAACCACAAAUGGUUCCCACCCAAAACUGCGCUCUGCUGAUGAGCUAAUAACAAAGAGUAUAGACCAAGGACCUACACCUAUAUUCUAGCUGUCAGAGAAAAUCCCAAAACUCCUUGACAUUUUUGCAGACACUCUUAUCCAGAGCAAUUAGGGUUCGAUACCUUGCUCAAGUACAAAUCAAAAGAUUUUUUCGCCUAGUCAGCUUGGGGAUUCAAACCAGCAACCAUCCAAUUAUUGCCUAAAGUCUCUUAACCACUAAGCUACCAAAUUAUUGUUUUGGAUUUGACAGCUCCUCGGAGGCAGUGAAUGCACAAAUAGAAUCUGCAGAGACUCCCUACCGUAGUUCUUUGUAUUCAGGUAGGUUGUUCAGGCCUUAGUGUAGGCCUAUAGGACGCUAAAUAACAGCAGAACCGUCCCAAAAUACAAUUCACCCGCAGGGCACAGGAUUUAUUUGACACUUAGGCCUGGUCAUUUUCAACACACAAAGGCCAUAACCUUACAAUAUUCCUCCUCCGCCCAUGAAAGAACUGUGAGCUGAGAACUGUCAUUUGUGUGUCAGAGCUCCCAGUCUUUUGUCUUUGCUAUUCUGUAGGCGUGUUGUUGUUGUUGACUGAUCUCCCAUAAUGAUGCAGCUAGAUCAGUCAAUAACUGGCUAAGUAUAUGGCCUGUACAGGAAUAUGUGUGUGUUUGUGUGUGUGUGGGGGGAGGGGGGGGUGGGGGGGUCUCGUUUCCAUGACAACAUUGCUAUUAAAUGCAGGCCAUCCAAUAAAGGAUAUGGAUAGGUGUGUACAGAAUGAUAAUUAAUAGAAUAGAGUAGAAGGAAAAACACAUGGAUUCUAUAGUUCUAUAUUAUUCUAUAGAAUACCCUACCCAUUGAAAUUUUUACGGGUUUAUUGUGGCUGUGAUCUUUCACAAAUAACUGAUUUGUCUAUUGUGUAAAUUCAAUAAUGCAUACACGAGGACACGCAUUUUACAUGGAUAUUGCUCUAUUAAAGUAACAUACCAUGCUGUGAUUAGGCCUUUUCAUUUGCAAUAUUUCGUCUAGAUAUUUCGUCUAGAUCGUGAAUUUAUUCACAUCCACAUUAUUAUAAAGGCAACGGUCUGACAAAUGACGCGGCUUUGCAAACCCAACACAUGCUCAAUUGCUUACCUCAUUUUUUCUCCUGUUCAAUUAGACGAUGACAUGAAGAAAUUGACAUAUACCGGUUUUUCCCUCUCAGACCGUUUGUAAAGCAGAAUGUUCUAAUUCAAUAUAACUCAAAGAUCAUACGCCAAUGUUCACCAAUUAUGUAUGGCUGUCGGCAAUGCAGUCAGUCUGAUUCUGAAAUACAAUGCGAGGAACCGAACGUUCUCCCUUUCUCUC